GGGUUGUGAGGUUAAGCGACUAAGCGUACACGGUGGAUGCCCUGGCAGUCAGAGGCGAUGAAGGACGUGCUAAUCUGCGAUAAGCGUCGGUAAGGUGAUAUGAACCGUUAUAACCGGCGAUUUCCGAAUGGGGAAACCCAGUGUGAUUCGUCACACUAUCAUUAACUGAAUCCAUAGGUUAAUGAGGCGAACCGGGGGAACUGAAACAUCUAAGUACCCCGAGGAAAAGAAAUCAACCGAGAUUCCCCCAGUAGCGGCGAGCGAACGGGGAGCAGCCCAGAGCCUGAAUCAGUGUGUGUGUUAGUGGAAGCGUCUGGAAAGGCGCGCGAUACAGGGUGACAGCCCCGUACACAAAAAUGCACAUGCUGUGAGCUCGAUGAGUAGGGCGGGACACGUGGUAUCCUGUCUGAAUAUGGGGGGACCAUCCUCCAAGGCUAAAUACUCCUGACUGACCGAUAGUGAACCAGUACCGUGAGGGAAAGGCGAAAAGAACCCCGGCGAGGGGAGUGAAAAAGAACCUGAAACCGUGUACGUACAAGCAGUGGGAGCA
rnacentral:rRNA from 1 species